rnacentral:ribozyme from 1 species
GGCAGGCAAAAUCCUAUCACCACCUCCUUGUGGUGCCAGCUGGAUACGACUCGUUGGAACUAAAGGUGAAGG